AAAUAUUAUUAACUUAUUCCUCUAUUGUUGCCAAUAAAAAUGGCUUGAAUAGAUAACACUUAUAAUAGAUAAAAUGAUAAUAUUAAACUCUAAGGAUAUCUAAAUGAAAAAGGUAAAAGAUGAAGAGCAAAACUAUCAUGGGCAUUUUAGAAAACAAUGAUACUAAAGAAAAGGGAAAAUCUAAAGAAGAAAAUGAUAACAAGUUUUUCUUUGAAGUGAUUAUAUAAAGAAGUGAUUAUAAAUAUAAGAGGAGGCUAAAUCACUAUUAAAUAGUUAAUGGACUUAUGGGCUCGACCUAAUUGGUAAUGAAUGGAUUCAACCCUAUAAUUUAGUUGCUUAUAAGAGGGAGCCUUGAAGAGGGGCAGCGGAAGAAAGAAAAAAAAAAAAAAAGAGAAGAAAACGGAGAGAUCUCGACGGCAACCAAGAAAGGAGGGGGAGAGGUCUCAGCGACAAGUAAGAGGAGAAGAGGAGGCUUCAACCUUGGAGGGAAGAACGAGCCAACAUCAAGGCUCCAAGCACAAGGACACCUCUUAAACCCCACUUUUGUUUUCCCCAUUCAAUCGAUAGUAUUGGUGUUUACUGGAAUCUUUCAUGGAAAUAUGUGGAAACAUGUCUUGUUAAAUGACAAUGUGGUGCCUUGAAGUUCCUGAAGUUUUCCUUUAAAUCUUGUUGUCCUUGUCGAGUAUUGUUGUUGGAAACUGCAGGGGGUGUUGUUGCGUUCUAGGACUCCUUAAGAUGAAGUCAUUCAUGCAGAUCUUGGGGUGCUUGUCGAGUAUUGUUGCUGGAUAACUACAGGGGAGGUUGACGUGUUUUAGGAUCCUUUAAGGUGAAGACUUUCCUUUAGAGCUUGUUGUCCUUGUUGAGUAUUGUUACUGGAAACUGCAGGGGGUGUUGCUGCAUUCUAGGACUCCUUAGGAUGAAGUCGUUUUUGCAGAUCUUGGGGUUCUUAUCGAGUAUUGUUGUUGGAUAACUGCAAGGGAGGUUGCUGCGUUUUGAGAUCCUUUAGGAUGAAGACUUUCCUUUAGAGCUUGUUGUCCUUGUCAAGAAUUGUUGCUAGAAAACUACAAGGGAGGUUGUUGGGUUUUGGAUUCUUUAGGAUGAAGUCCAGGAGGUUUAAAGAGGGCUGGGAUGCGAGAAUUACCCUUGGCGGGGAGAGAGUUGAAUCACAAGGUGGGGUAGGAGGAGACCUAAGUGUAGCAAAUUUUCCUUUUUGAGGAAUACCUGGAGUUAUAGGCAGCAGGUUCUUUUCAAGGGGGAUUGGGAGCUACAAGUAGCAUAUUUUUGGAGGAUUACCUGGAUUAUUUGUAAUAGAAUUUGAGAAGUUGUUGAAGGGAUGUGGGGGUAUAGCAGAUUUUGACAAGUGGUUGGUCACUUGAUGCUUGAGGAGGUCUAGGAGUGUGGAUGUUUAUUUAGCUUUAUGUAGUUAACGAUAUUCAUGUUUAUUGAGUUUCACGUAGUUAGUGAUAUGUAUGCUUAUUUGAGCUUCAUGUAGAUUAAUGGUAUGAUUGUUUAAUUAGCUUUAUGUAGUGAAUGAUAAUCAUGCUUAUUUAGCUUUAUUUACUUAAAGAUAUCCAGCUUAUCGAGCCCAUGUAGUUAAUGAUAUAUGUGUUUAUUUUAGCCUCAUGUAGAUUAAUGGUAUGAUUGUUGAAUUAGCUUUAUGUAGUAAAUGAUAAUCAUGCUUAUUUAGCUUCAUUUACUUAAAAGUAUUUAUGCUUAUCAAGCCCAUGUAGUUGAUUAUAUACAUGUUUGUUUGAGCCUUAUGUAGAUAAAUGAUAUGAAUGCUUAUUUAAUGAUAAAUGACAAUGAUGAUGAAGAUUAAUGGAAAUUCUGUGAGGGCCAAGGCCCCAGAGGGACCCCGUUUACGGGACAAGGCCCUAGAGAGACCUCGGUACCAUAUUCCCAUAUUUGGCCAGGGUCCAGUGACCAAAGUUGUUGAUGCUCUGCUACCGGGUACCAUGAUUCAUAGAUUAAUCAAUCAAACAAAGGAUAAAAGAUAACUAAUAUAUCUACACCCAAGAAUGAUAUGAUAAAUGCUAAAGGGUAAUGCUAUAUAAUGUGAUGAUUAAAAAAAUACACAUAAUGUUGUGUGAUACUCAUAGUUUUACAUUAUGGAAAAUUCUUAUAUGCUUGCUUACUUUUUCCUUUGACAAUAAAUUCUAAAUAAAGGUAGAUUUAAUUAUACAUGCAACGGGUUAUGGAAUUUUUGCUAUUAUGGUUGGACCCUUAUCUACUUGAUGCUAAAGGGCAUUUGGAUACAUUAUUUUAUUAUUAUAACUCGAUGUUUCUAUUCUCUUUUGUAUCCAAUUAUAUAUUUUUAGUGUAUUUCAUAUAGUUGUAUUGUUGUUAGUCUCCAUUUUAAUUCUUAUAUAUUUUAUGUAUAUUUUGAAUAUUAUUUGAUUAUACUAUAUUUUACAGGAAUUGAGGGAGACAACAAUUGAGAGAAGAAAUGUGAGUUGAACAAAUCAUGGUGUAGGUCAAUUGCCAAAUGGGUAGAAUGGAUCAAAGAACAAGAAGGCAAUUUAGAAGCCUAAUUGCAAAACUCCAAAGAGAAACCCUUACUUUAUUGGAAAUGAACUGGACCAGUUUGAUUCAGUGAUUGGUCUGGUUCAGUGGAGCUUAAAAGGUGAAUUAGCACAGUGCAUAACUCGGCUAAGGUUUUCUUCUCUCGUUACUAUGCACAUCAAGCGCAAUUUCUCUCUUCGACGCCCCCUUUCGAUUUCUCCCGAGCAAAGCGACGAAGAAGACGACGGUGCUUUCGGCUGAUUUAUAGUGACGACAACCCUAGGAAGUGCCGGAGGUAAUCGUCUGACGUAGUUUUUUAUUCCCCUCGCAUCCCAGUCAAGUUCCCUGCUAGACACAGUGAAGAAGGCAGCGACAUUCCGACGGGAGCUCAAAGCUUCCCUGUUGGACACAGUGAAGAAGAAAACAACUUAGAUUACCAGUAGCCCUUUUUCCACCAUUGAUCAGAGGCAGGCCUUCAAUCCAGUGAAUCCAUCAGUGAUAAGUGGAGGCAGUCCUCCGGUGUCACCAGAUUUCUAUCCCAGCAGACACCCUUUUAGAGGUGGUCCUCCGAGGGAUAUCGCGCUUCCACCGUCAUUGAUUACAUCUUCGACUAGGAGUGUCAGCCGUUCAUUGGAUUCAGGGGAUUUUCGAUUGGCAGCGGUCUUCUUCCUCAGUGGUUCUGUUAGUGACAGGCAGAGCACUUCUUGUAUUUGAUUGUGGAGAAUUGGAUUGAUUAAUUAGGUUUUAUUUGUUGUUUAUGUUUGAUGUCAUAGUUAUGUUCUUAUGUAUGUUUGAUUGUUCAUCAUUGCACUUGAAUUGCAUGUACUACGCUUAAAUACUUUCAUGGACAUAACGUGUUCGAUGACUUAUUUCAACUUUAUGUUAAGUUUAAUUUGAUACA